CUGCAUGUGGAGAUGUCUGCUCUUCAUUCCUUUAGGAGCAGGAAUACAUCUAUAACAGGCUGUAUUUAAAAAGGAAUUCUUAGAGCUGCCAAUCUUAUAAUAAAUGUUGAGUAGUAGUAUAUAUCUCCUACAAAA
ensembl:snoRNA